AUCACAUUGCCAGAGAUUACUG
rnacentral:miRNA from 4 species